GAUGAACGCUGGCGGCGUGCCUAAUACAUGCAAGUCGAGCGAACAGAUAAGGAGCUUGCUCCUUUGACGUUAGCGGCGGACGGGUGAGUAACACGUGGAUAACCUACCUAUAAGACUGGAAUAACUCCGGGAAACCGGGGCUAAUGCCGGAUAACAUUUAGAACCGCAUGGUUCUAAAGUGAAAGAUGGUUUUGCUAUCACUUAUAGAUGGACCCGCGCCGUAUUAGCUAGUUGGUAAGGUAACGGCUUACCAAGGCAACGAUACGUAGCCGACCUGAGAGGGUGAUCGGCCACACUGGAACUGAGACACGGUCCAGACUCCUACGGGAGGCAGCAGUAGGGAAUUUUGCGCAAUGGGCGAAAGCCUGAUGGAGCAACGCCGCGUGAGUGAAGAAGGCCUUCGGGUCGUAAAACUCUGUUAUUAGGGAAGAACAAAUGUGCAAUUAACCGGGCACGUCUUGACGGUACCUAAUCAGAAAGCCACGGCUAACUACGUG
rnacentral:rRNA from 1 species